rnacentral:rRNA from 1 species
AACGUAGGACGCAAGCGUUAUCCGGAUUUACUGGGCGUAAAGCGCGGGCAGGCGGUUCUGCCAGUCUGAUGUGAAAUCUCCUCGCUCAACGGGGAGCAGCCAUUGGAAACUGCAGAACUGGAGUCUGACAGAGGUAGGCGGAAUUCCGGGUGGAGUGGUGAAAUGCGUAGAGAUCCGGAGGAACACCAGAGGCGAAGGCGGCCUACUGGGUCAGUACUGGCGCUGAGCCGCGAAAGCCAGGGGAGCGAACGGG